rnacentral:rRNA from 1 species
GACGAACGCUGGCGGCGUGCCUAAUACAUGCAAGUCGAGCGCAGGAAAUCAUCCGAACCCUUCGGGGGGACGUUGAUGGAAUGAGCGGCGGACGGGUGAGUAACACGUAAAGAACCUGCCCUCAGGUCUGGGAUAACCACGAGAAAUCGGGGCUAAUGCCGGAUGGGUCAUCGGACCGCAUGGUCCGAGGAUGAAAGGCGCUUCGGCGUCGCCUGGGGAUGGCUUUGCGGUGAAUUAGCUAGUUGGUGGGGUAAUGGCCCACCAAGGCGACGAUGCAUAGCCGACCUGAGAGGGUGAUCGGCCACACUGGGACUGAGACACGGCCCAGACUCCUACGGGAGGCAGCAGUAGGGAAUCUUCCACAAUGGACGAAAGUCUAAUGGGGCGACGCCGCGUGAACGAUGAAGGCCUUCGGGUCGUAAAGUUCUGUUGUAAGGGAAGAACAAGUGCCGCAGGCAAUGGCGGCACCUUGACGGUACCUUGCGAGAAAGCCACGGCUAACUACGUGCCAGCAGCCGCCGUAA